rnacentral:snRNA from 1 species
AGCUUUGCACAGUGGAAACAUCAUAGCCAAAGAGGUUUAUCCGAGUUGCAAUUAUUACUGAUAUAAAUAUCUUCUCUCA